GGCAUAUAUUAAUAUAUAAGAAUUUUAUUUUCCAAUUGAAAUCAUAUAAUUGACACAAUGCUCAUAAAUUUGUCUACAUCAUCAUGAGUGCAAGGCCACAAAGGGGAAAAAGAAAAUAGAGUGGAAGCAACAGUUUGGGCACAAAUAAAACCAUGAACCCAAGCACACAAAGAUACAUGAUUAAUGUACAUAUUCCAAGGUCCCAAAGCCUCAAGGACCAGAUGAAACUCUCAAAUUUAGUAGCAUAAAGGAAUUUCUUUUCUCAAUUAUAUGUUGGACGUGCUCCUGAAAGAUCCUAAAGCUUUAACAGCAGCUGCUCUCAAGAUAUAUUGGUGGUAGAAUGCAGCAAUUGCGGCACCAAUGAAAGGUCCAACCCAGAAA
rnacentral:misc_RNA from 1 species